UACCAUUCAAACAAAUGGAGUUGCUGUUUGUCCACAAGCCAUGGCUGGCAUAGAGGGAUAUGUCUGCUCAAUGGAAGCCUUGUUUCUUCUAAAGUUGAUAUAUACCUUUUUGACAUCUUAACAGCCAAAUUUGGUGGUAAAAGUUGGUACUGACUGCUUCUCUGUCCCUGGGUUGGGAUGCUCCUGACAUAACAGAUCCUGUCCCAUGAGAUCUGCUGCUAUACUCUUUAAUGACCUUCUCACCAUCAGUGAAACAAAU